GCAGGCGGUUUGUUAAGUCAGAUGUGAAAUCCCCGGGCUCAACCUGGGAACUGCAUCUGAUACUGGCAAGCUUGAGUCUCGUAGAGGGGGGUAGAAUUCCAGGUGUAGCGGUGAAAUGCGUAGAGAUCUGGAGGAAUACCGGUGGCGAAGGCGGCCCCCUGGACGAAGACUGACGCUCAGGUGCGAAAGCGUGGGGAGCAAACAGGAUUA
rnacentral:rRNA from 1 species